AGUAAAGUGGCGUACGGGUGAGUAACACGUGGAUAAUCUACCUCUUGGUGGGGAAUAACUCUGGGAAACCGGAGCUAAUACCGCAUAAGCCUGGAAAGGGAAAGUCGCAAGACGCUGAGAGAGGAGUCCGCGGCCGAUUAGCUAGUUGGCAGGGUAAAAGCCUACCAAGGCUAUGAUCGGUAGCCGGCCUGAGAGGGCACACGGCCACACUGGCACUGAAACACGGGCCAG
rnacentral:rRNA from 1 species